GGAAGGUUGGCCGAGUGGUUUAAGGCAGCAGUCUUGAAAACUGCCGAUCUGAAAGGAUCCGUGAGUUCGAAUCUCACACCUUCCG
rnacentral:tRNA from 2 species